GACAGAGGGGGCAAGCGUUGCUCGGAAUUACUGGGCGUAAAGGGCGCGUAGGCGGGAUGGCAAGUCGGUCGUGAAAUCCCUCGGCUCAACCGAGGAACGUCGAUCGAUACUGCUGUUCUUGAGGAUUGCAGAGGAGACUGGAAUUCCCGGUGUAGCGGUGAAAUGCGCAGAUAUCAGGAGGAACACCGGUGGCGAAGGCGGGUCUCUGGGCCGAUAUUGACGCUGAGGAGCGAAAGCGUGGGGAGCGAACAGG
rnacentral:rRNA from 1 species